rnacentral:rRNA from 1 species
GAUGAACGCUAGCGGCAGGCCUAAUACAUGCAAGUCGAACGGGAUUUGAGUAGCAAUACUUAAUGAGAGUGGCGCACGGGUGCGUAACGCGUAUGCAACCUACCUUUAACAGGGGGAUAGCUCCGAGAAAUCGAAAUUAAUACCCCAUAGAAUUAUUGAUUGGCAUCAAUUAAUAAUUAAAGCUCCGGCGGUUAAAGAUGGGCAUGCGUGCCAUUAGCUAGUUGGUGAGGUAACGGCUCACCAAGGCAACGAUGGCUAGGGGUUCUGAGAGGAUUAUCCCCCACACUGGUACUGAGACACGGACCAGACUCCUACGGGAGGCAGCAGUAAGGAAUAUUGGGCAAUGGACGCAAGUCUGACCCAGCCAUGCCGCGUGCAGGAAGACAGCCCUAUGGGUUGUAAACUGCUUUUGUCAGGGAAUAAACCCCCGGAUGUAUCCGGGGCUGAAUGUACCUGAAGAAUAAGCAUCGGCUAACUCCGUGCCAGCAGCCGCGGUAAUACGGAGGAUGCGAGCGUUAUCCGGAUUCAUUGGGUUUAAAGGGUGCGCAGGCGGAUUAUUAAGUCAGUGGUGAAAUCCUACAGCUCAACUGUAGAACUGCCAUUGAUACUGAUAAUCUUGAGUGUAUAUGAAGUGGGCGGAAUGUAGCAUGUAGCGGUGAAAUGCAUAGAUAUGCUACAGAACACCAAUUGCGAAGGCAGCUCACUAAACUACAACUGACGCUCAUGCACGAAAGCGUGGGGAUCAAACA